rnacentral:rRNA from 1 species
AGAGUUUGAUCAUGGCUCAGAUUGAACGCUGGCGGCAGGCCUAACACAUGCAAGUCGAACGGUAACAGGAAACAGCUUGCUGUUUCGCUGACGAGUGGCGGACGGGUGAGUAAUGUCUGGGAAACUGCCCGAUGGAGGGGGAUAACUACUGGAAACGGUAGCUAAUACCGCAUAACGUCGCAAGACCAAAGAGGGGGACCUUCGGGCCUCUUGCCAUCGGAUGUGCCCAGAUGGGAUUAGCUAGUAGGUGGGGUAACGGCUCACCUAGGCGACGAUCCCUAGCUGGUCUGAGAGGAUGACCAGCCACACUGGAACUGAGACACGGUCCAGACUCCUACGGGAGGCAGCAGUGGGGAAUAUUGCACAAUGGGCGCAAGCCUGAUGCAGCCAUGCCGCGUGUAUGAAGAAGGCCUUCGGGUUGUAAAGUACUUUCAGCGGGGAGGAAGGGAGUAAAGUUAAUACCUUUGCUCAUUGACGUUACCCGCAGAAGAAGCACCGGCUAACUCCGUGCCAGCAGCCGCGGUAAUACGGAGGGUGCAAGCGUUAAUCGGAAUUACUGGGCGUAAAGCGCACGCAGGCGGUUUGUUAAGUCAGAUGUGAAAUCCCCGGGCUCAACCUGGGAACUGCAUCUGAUACUGGCAAGCUUGAGUCUCGUAGAGGGGGGUAGAAUUCCAGGUGUAGCGGUGAAAUGCGUAGAGAUCUGGAGGAAUACCGGUGGCGAAGGCGGCCCCCUGGACGAAGACUGACGCUCAGGUGCGAAAGCGUGGGGAGCAAACAGGAUUAGAUACCCUGGUAGUCCACGCCGUAAACGAUGUCGACUUGGAGGUUGUGCCCUUGAGGCGUGGCUUCCGGAGCUAACGCGUUAAGUCGACCGCCUGGGGAGUACGGCCGCAAGGUUAAAACUCAAAUGAAUUGACGGGGGCCCGCACAAGCGGUGGAGCAUGUGGUUUAAUUCGAUGCAACGCGAAGAACCUUACCUGGUCUUGACAUCCACGGAAGUUUUCAGAGAUGAGAAUGUGCCUUCGGGAACCGUGAGACAGGUGCUGCAUGGCUGUCGUCAGCUCGUGUUGUGAAAUGUUGGGUUAAGUCCCGCAACGAGCGCAACCCUUAUCCUUUGUUGCCAGCGGUCCGGCCGGGAACUCAAAGGAGACUGCCAGUGAUAAACUGGAGGAAGGUGGGGAUGACGUCAAGUCAUCAUGGCCCUUACGACCAGGGCUACACACGUGCUACAAUGGCGCAUACAAAGAGAAGCGACCUCGCAAGAGCAAGCGGACCUCAUAAAGUGCGUCGUAGUCCGGAUUGGAGUCUGCAACUCGACUCCAUGAAGUCGGAAUCGCUAGUAAUCGUGGAUCAGAAUGCCACGGUGAAUACGUUCCCGGGCCUUGUACACACCGCCCGUCACACCAUGGGAGUGGGUUGCAAAAGAAGUAGGUAGCUUAACCUUCGGGAGGGCGCUUACCACUUUGUGAUUCAUGACUGGGGUGAAGUCGUAACAAGGUAACCGUAGGGGAACCUGCGGUUGGAUCACCU